UCCGGUUUGACACCGGCAGUCUCCCACGAGUCCCACCACCCCGAAGGGCGUGCUGGCAACUAGGGACAGGGGUUGCGCUCGUUGCGCCACUUAAGGCAACACCUCACGGCACGAGCUGACGACAGCCAUGCACCACCUGUGCGGGCUCCGUAGAGCGCCGUGUUUCCACGGCUUCACCCCGCAUGCCAAGCCCAGGUAAGGUUCUUCGCGUUGCAUCGAAUUAAGCCACAUGCUCCGCCGCUUGUGCGGGCCCCCGCCAAUUCCUUUGAGUUUUAGCCUUGCGGCCGUACUCCCCAGGCGGGGCGCUUAAUGCGUUAGCUUCGGCACGGACGGGGUCGAUCUCCGCCCACACCUAGCGCCCAACGUUUACGGCUAGGACUAC
rnacentral:misc_RNA from 1 species